AUGAACGCUAGCGACAGGCCUAACACAUGCAAGUCGAGGGGCAGCACAAGGAGCAAUCUGAGGUGGCGACCGGCGCACGGGUGAGUAACACGCAUGCAACCUGCCUGUAAGCGGGGAAUAACCCGUUGAAAGACGGACUAAUACCGCAUAAUACUAAAUUACUGCAUGGUAAUUUAUUUAAACAUUUAUGGCUUACAGAUGGGCAUGCGCAUGAUUAGCUAGUUGGAGAGGUAACGGCUCCCCAAGGCAACGAUCAUUAGGGGUUCUGAGAGGAAGGUCCCCCACACUGGUACUGAGACACGGACCAGACUCCUACGGGAGGCAGCAGUGAGGAAUAUUGGUCAAUGGACGAGAGUCUGAACCAGCCAAGUCGCGUGCAGGAAGAAUGUCCUAUGGAUUGUAAACUGCUUUUGCAGGGGAAUAAAGUGCAUCACGUGUGAUGUUUUGUAUGUACUCUGCGAAUAAGGAUCGGCUAACUCCGUGCCAGCAGCUGC
rnacentral:rRNA from 1 species